rnacentral:rRNA from 1 species
GGAGGAAAGUAGGGGAUCGCAAGACCUUGCGCUAAAGGAGCGGCCGAUGUCUGAUUAGCUAGUUGGUGGGGUAAAGGCUUACCAAGGCAACGAUCAGUAGUCGGUCUGAGAGGACGGCCAACCACACUGGGACUGAGACACGGCCCAGACUCCUACGGGAGGCAGCAGUGGGGAAUUUUGGACAAUGGGCGAAAGCCUGAUCCAGCCAUGCCGCGUGAGUGAAGAAGGCCUUCGGGUUGUAAAGCUCUUUUAGUCGGAAAGAAAGAGUUGCAAUGAAUAAUUGUGAUUUAUGACGGUACCGACAGAAAAAGCACCGGCUAACUACGUGCCAGCAGCCGCGGUAAUACGUAGGGUGCGAGCGUUAAUCGGAAUUACUGGGCGUAAAGGGUGCGCAGGCGGUCUUGCAAGUCAGAUGUGAAAGCCCCGGGCUUAACCUGGGAAUUGCGUUUGAAACUACAAGGCUAGA